CCUAUGGGAGGCAGCAGUCGGGAAUAUUUGACAAUGGGGGGAACCCUGAUCCAGCGACGCCGCGUGAGUGAAGCAGUAUUUUGGUAUGUAAAGCUCUAUCAGCAUGGAAGAAAAUGACGGUACCUGACUAAGAAGCCCCGGCUAACUACGUGCCAGCAGCCGCGGUAAUACGUAGGGGGCAAGCGUUAUCCGGAUUUACUGUGGGGAAAGGGGAAGUAGACGGUGCCGCAUGUCUGAUGUGAAAGGUCGGGGCCAAACCCUGGGACUGAAUAGGACACUGUUGAAGUGGAGUACAGGAGAGGUAAGCGGAAUUCCGGGGGUAGAGGUGAAAGGCGUAGAUAGUAGGAGGAACACCAGUGGCGAAGGCGGGUUACUGGACUGUAACUGACGUUGAGGCUCGAAGGCGAGGGGAGCGAAAGGGAUUAGAUACCCGUGUAGUC
rnacentral:rRNA from 1 species